CCCACUGGUUCUUCCCGUGUCAGCCCGUGGUGCUCAGCGGGGAGAUGGGCAGCGCUGGGAGCUCUCACAGCCCUCUGCUCCACUCCUGCACUGCCUGCAGCAGCCUUUGUUGAAGUCCUGUGACAUUACUGGGUGUUGGAGCUGAGCGCGUCUGCAGUGGAUGCUGUAUGAACAUGAACACUGCUCCUUUACCUGUGGCAUUUGCACGGGCAUGGCUGUCCACCAGCAGUAUCUCAGUUCCUGCUCCAGACUGUCUGCUGUGGCACACGCCUGAGCCUGAGGCUGGUGAACACCCUCUCUCUGCUCCCCAGGCAAAUGUCAGGAGCUGCAGGGUGGCCUCUGGAUUCCUCAGAUACCUGCCCUCAUCAUGCAGGAAGGCAUUAACCUUUGGUUCUAAGUGAGCACCCUCAUAUCUCACCUCAUUUAGUCUGACUGGCUAUUUGAUCCCAUCCAAUAGAAGCAUCUUUCCUUUGGCAUCCUGUAAAUCCAGGCCUUGACUUGAGGAUUUCCAGUGUGCCGUCUACCCAGUGCUGGUGGAAAAUACCUCACAUGUUGCGCCCAGCUCUUGGUAGGCCCCGGCAAAGGGACUGAAGGGGAGGAUGGGCAAGAGGGCCUUGCAAGUCACUUACCUCAUGCUCUUAGGACAUGGUGAAAGCACCACCAGAUCUCAGCUUUUUCCCCAGACUUGAGCUUUUCCUUGCCUCCAGUUCAUACAGAGCUCAGGUUGGGCUCACCUUACUUCCACAUAGCACUACUCUCCUGCGUUUCCCUCACAUAACCUAUCACAUGUAUCUCUUGGGUCUACCUUAGGGCUGUGCAUUAGGUCUUCUAGUUCAGCUGUGAUGAGCUAUCAUUUUACUUCCUUGUACUGAAUAAACAGAUGUUUUCUGUG
rnacentral:lncRNA from 7 species